rnacentral:rRNA from 1 species
GACGAACGCUGGCGGCGUGCUUAACACAUGCAAGUCGAACGGACAGGCCCUGCUUUUGUGGGUUGCUCGAUUGGCGAACGGGUGAGUAACACAUGAGUAACCUGCCCUUGACUUUGGGAUAACUUCUGGGAACUGCGGCUAAUACCGGGGAGAAGCUCCUGCUGCAUAUUGUUCUUUGGAGAGUUUCGGCGGUUCGGGAUGGACUCGCUGCUUAUCCGCUUGUUUGUCGGGUAGUGGCUUACCAAGCCUGUGACGGGUAGCCGGCCUGGGAGGGUGACCGGCAUCAUGGGGACUGAGAGACGGCCCAGACGCCUACGUGAGGCAGUAGUGGGGAAUAUUGCAGAAUGGGCGGAAGCCUGAUGCAGCAACGCCGCGUGCGGGAUGACGUCUUACGGGUGGUAAACCGCUUUGGCAGGUGACGAAGCGUGAGUGACGGUAAUGGGUAAAGAAGCAACGGCUAACUACGUG